AGAGUUUGAUCCUGGCUCAGAAUGAACGCUGGCGGCGUGCUUAACACAUGCRAGUYKAACGGAAUCCAAGGAGCUUGCUCCSAAAGAUUUAGUGGCGAACGGGUGAGUAUCACGUGAGCAACCUACCCCGAAGACUGGGAUAACACCGGGAAACCGGUGCUAAUACCGGAUACCUUCCRAGGACCGCAUGGKCAAUGGAAGAAAUGUCUUUUCGCUUCKGGCGGGGCUCGCGGUCCAUCAGCUUGUUGGCGGGGUAACGGCCCACCAAGGCAACGACGGAUAGCUGGUCUGAGAGGACGAUCAGCCACACUGGAACUGAGACACGGUCCAGACUCCUACGGGAGGCAGCAGUGGGGAAUCUUGCGCAAUGGGCGAAAGCCUGACGCAGCAACKCCGCGUGAGGGACGAAGGCUUUCUGAGUUGUAAACCUCUUUCGACAGGAACGAUUGUGACGGUACCUGUAGAAGAAGCACCGGCCAACUAUGUGCCAGCAGCCGCGGUGAUACAUAGGGUGCGAGCGUUAUUCGGAUUUAUUGGGCGUAAAGAGCUCGUAGGCGGUUCGAUAAGUCGGGUGUUGAACCC
rnacentral:rRNA from 1 species